CGCCUACCAACUAGGGCCGCUUCGCGUUGCUUGCCGGCAGUUGUAGUUUCCUUUUUGCUUCAACGCUUCACAAGAGCGCGGUGGGCAGCUCAUAAGACCUCCGCUUCGGGAGUGUGCCCAUCCUCCACCCGUGAGGAGCUAUGAUACGCAUGCGCAGACUGGAGGGGACUGAGGGGUUGUGAGGCUGGGGUUUGCGGUAGCCGUUGGGGCCCGGGGUGCGAGGGUGGGGCGGCAAAGGGUUCUCUCAGGUUACCAGGGACAGCAAGUUCUCCAAGUAACGGGGGCGAGGGGGAUCUUGAGCAGACAGAGUUAGGGCUAUAGUUUUUCGAUUUAAAACAGCAUUUAUUUAAACCAAAUACUUUUUAAAGGUAAACUUUAUUUAAAAUCAAAUACAGUCAUAGCAGCAUGAGUUCAGGGCUCAACUUCCUAUGAGCAUUAAUAUCCUUAACAUGAGGUACAAAAACUAUUACACCUUUUGAAGCCACGUUUUAAAUGAAGCACCCAAAGGCAGUCUGAUGCUCUGCCUAGCUGGCUUUUAAAAGCAAGAGACUCUUCUAGAGAUGCUGGGAGAAUAUUUUCUUCAUUUUAGUUUUUUAGAAGUUAAGGAACCAAUUAGGAUUGAAAAAGCAGUCUAUGAAUAAAACCUAGGAGUGAGAGGGAGAUUUACUAGUUCUAAAGUCAGUUCAAGUCUCUAGCAAUAGAUAAUACUUAUUUUGUUUAAUAUAUCCAUCAAUUUAAAGGCAAAACAUGUUUUGAUAUUUUUCUUCUGUAGUUAGCAUGAUUUAAUUUAGUUUUAAGUAACAAGUUGUAAAAGUACAAUUUUAAUGAAUUUGAAUUGAAUUCCUAUGUUCAUCAAAAUGCAGCUUGACACAAAAUUAAUCAUCUCAUAAAUAAGAAAUAUCAUUCAUCAUAUUCUAACAAAAACGUAAAAUAUUAAGAAUCAGAACAAUGGUAAGCUAUACAAUUGUUCAAAUAAAUGUCUCCUUAUAUUUGUUAUAAACAAGUAUCAAAGCAUACCAACCAAGUAGAAUUAACUUCUGUUUAUGAAAAUAGCAAAUAUACUUGCAAAACAAGAAUAACAUAGAUUAUUUUAAUCAAGAUGUCCUAUUUGCUGAUUUAAAUCAUGAUUUAACAAAUGGUGAUUUUAAUCACACCAUCCUGAGACAGGGACAGAGACCAUCCUGAAAGGUCAUUUGGAAGUGUGAGGCAGGAAGCUGGAGGGCUUGGAGCAAAAGGCAAAUGGAGAGGGAAAGUGUUAUAUUUGGGUGAGAGUGUCAAGUGAAGGUGGCAUGAGACAAAAGGCACCAUCAGACUAAGAUGGGCAAAUCUAAUGGCAUACAAGUGAGAGGCCAUUGGGCAAAUGAAAAUAGAGAGUGGAAGAAAUAUGAGGCUUGAGCAAGCAGAGGUUCAAAGGAAGAGGAGACAAGAAGUGCCCAUCACAGCAGAACCUAUGCAGCAGAACCUAUGCAUCAGGAGAUCUCUGAAGCUACAAGUCACCAUUACCCGCUCAACCAGAUGUCCCAACAUGCUUGUACACCAGCAACAUCACAUUCACUCUUAAAUAUGCCUGCAUCACAGAGGUGCUCAGAUCUACUCAAGGUCUACUCAACUAGUGCAUUACAUGUUACAAGACUCUGAGCAGAAAUCUGCAAGAAACAGUGUCAGCCAAUCCAAAUAGCAAUAUUCUCCUCUCCUGAUGAAGGUAUCAACCCAGUUGCUUCAGUUCAAGCAGUUUGUUUGAACCAGAUAGGAGCCAGGCCAUGAGAGUGAGGCGAUAUGGUUGUGGAUGUAGAGUGCGGCCAUGGACCUGCAUGAGAAUGUCCAGACAAUUCGGAAGAUGGAAGAGAUGAGGAGACAUCCAAAAGAGAGCGGGGGACAGAGGAGGUUCAACCAUUGAUGAUGCAGGAAAGCAGUCGGUGUGCCAAAGAGCAGCAAAGGUGGUGCCGAGGACAGGGCAACAGCCCUCUGGCAUGGACAUUGUGUCGGUGCUUUCUUUGGAUGUUGUGAUGGUGCCACGGUGUUGUGGUGGUGCUGCAGUGCUGCCUUUUAGGCAUCAUGGUUGAAGUGGUGCCAUGCUUGGAGCUCAGUGCUGAGUGGUGUUGUGGCACCAGUGGAGGGGGCAUCAGAGUUGGGAAUAUUUUUGGCACUGAGUCCCGUGCUGAAGAGCAGAUGUGACAUGCCUAUGGUCCGGAUCAGUAUCAGAUAUGAUCCUUGCUGGUACAGUGUUGGAGAUGCUAGGAGUGUCCCCUUGACUGAGUCAGGACAUCAGUACCAUGGGAAGAGACUCGGCUGGGAAAACUCUUAUUUUGAGAGUCCCAAGCUGGAGGAGUGCUGGUCCAUUUCCUUGGGUCCUUAGCAGGUAUAAUCUUGUCCUUAGGAGGGAACUUAGGAUCUUGGCUUUGAGAAGAGCAGCCUCUCAAGGAGAAUCAUUUUCACGCAGAGCUCUGUAUCACGUUUGACCCUGGAAGCAAGGCUGGAAGAGUGAGACCACUUGGUCAGGACGUAAGUAUCCCCAAGACACUUCAUACAUGAGGAGUGGCCAACGGAGACUGGCAUAGGGUCAUGACAUAUCUUGCAUUUCUUGAACCUGGGAGAUCCAGGCAUAAUGGCAGGAAGGAGGCCAUGGCAACCAUUAAUUCUUGUCUCUGAAGACUCCGCUUCACUUUGUUUUCUUCUGUUUCUUCAAUUUUUAUCUAAACUUUUUUUUUUAAACUGAGAAGCCACAGAGGGAGCUGAAGAAAUGGAGAGUCAACGAACUUGGAGAACUGGGAAUUGUUUUUUGAAAAAACAAACUAGCCAACUAUUUAAAAACUAACUAAAUAACUGAGGACAUUAACUAUUAUCUUAACUACUAUCUUUUUUUCUGCACUGCAUGCAGCCGAUACAUAGAGAAGGAACUGAGGAGGGCAAUGCCAUGUAUUCCAUCCAUUAAGGCACGAACAGCUUGAGAUGCCUACAGUACAGCACAGCCCAACCAACUACUGUAACAAAAAUCUCUGACCUAUGGUGUCAGAACGCCUAUAGUGGAGCACUCCAAGAAAAAAUAUCUUUUUCAGUUUACCUCAUACCAGUACUUAGUGCAACCUCAUCAUGAAAUUUGAACUUACAAAUGUAGAAUUAUGUACAAAAAAUAAGUGCAUUGAAAAAUACAAUGUUAAACUUUACAAGUCCACUCAGUCCUACUAUGGUUACAAUUUACAGUUUACUAUUUGUUUACAACAUCACUUAACAGUGAGAACAGGCAUUCUUCGCUUGUGCAUGUUCAUUCCAAUCUGAAACGUGUGUGUGCAUGGAAGUUGGAAGAUUCUUCCACUAACAACAUUGGGUUGAGUUGGGCAUCCCCUGAAAUAGUGCCCUUAUGGCACCUAAUAUAUAGUCCUGCCAACUCAAUUCUUUUUUAAUACCUGGUGACAGAAGCUGGAGCUUCUUGCUCUGGCAAGCACCAUUAGCAGUGUCCUAUUCAUUUGUUCAUAGUUCAUUAAAGUUAGUUGUUAGAUUAUUUUCUUAGUGUAAGGAGGUACCUCCUCUUUUUCUUCUCUUCCCAGCACCAGGGCAUGCCUUAAUCCAUGGGGUUCAAAGUUUGCAAAGCCUGUGGCUAGCUUAUGCCUAAGAGUGAUUUCCACACAUAUCGCCUAAAGUAUCUUGUUGAGGGUCAUUAAAAAGUGUCUAUCUGUAAGUUUUCACCCAUAAACACUUAAAGAUCACGAUCAAAGGCCUGAAGCAUCUCAGACAAGUGGCCACCUGUAUGUAACUUUGUGAUAUAUACACCAGACCACCACUCUCUUCAUUCAUGGCUGGUAUCAGUGCAUCAACCAGCCCAGCAAAGUCUGGGUAUGAUCACUUUCCUACUAUGGUAGAUACAUGCUCUGAAUAUCUGCUCAGGGGUGCCCUUUACAGACCCAGUUACUCGUGAUGGAUGUGCCUGACUUGGGAUGAUGAGUCCAUUUCAAGGACCUCGGGCUGACCUAGCUUUGUUGAGAACAGUGCACCUAGCAUGCUAGACCAUCCAGAUGUACCUAACAGGACAGUGUGAAGCAAUUGUGAUGGACAAUGCAAUCAUUUCCAUUUCAAAAAAUGCAGAUGCAUGCUCCUCUCCCCUGUGCUAAGAAGGCUACAUACUAGGGGACUUCUGUGUAGAACAUUUGAUUGACUUGCAAGUGUCACAUCUCCCCAGGGUACAGAAUGAGCUGGUGGACCACAUCAGCGAGUCAUUCUACAGCCAUAAGUUGCCUGGAUAUCCCAAAUUCAAUAUUCCAAAGGUGGGACUUUCUUCUGGUAGCCCUGUUCACCAUACAUCACAACAAGUAGCAGGUCUGGUCCUUCUGGGCUCUGCAACAGGGCUGUGAGACUCACUGCCAUGUUGCCACCUGCUGGUUACCUCUCAUAUUAGCUGUUCAGCCUUAGCUCACCUUCUGCUGGCCAGUGUCUCACCCUGUUACCUGUCUCCUGCACUGGUUCAGGCCCCGUGUCUCUUCCUGCCCACAGUGCCCUUUCCUCAGAGUACUACCCUGCCGCAGUGUCCCCACUCUGGGGUCCUCCCCUCCCAGGGGACCCCAAAUGCCCUGUACCCACCUUGCCUCAGUGAUCCACUGCCAGUCAUUAUCUCGCGCCUGCCUUAGGACUAAACUUCAGUCUUAAGCAACCACUCCUUAUUGGCAAGCAGGUGAAUCUGCUGCCUUCUGCUCUGGUACCUCUCAGGCCCCUGCAACCUGGGAGUGGUGUCUGGCCAGUGCUCCCCAGCACCACUCUGUCUAAGGAAGCCUCUGUAGCGUCCUUUGCAGCCAGGUCCCUCCUGCUCCACAGCUGGAGCAAGAGUUUCUUAUCCAGGAGCCCUUCUUUAUACAACCCCAGCUGGUCCCUAAUUAUCUGCAGCCCCAUCUUUGGCUGCCUAUCACUUAGCCUCCCUAAACUGGUUUUAACCCUUGUAGGGCCAGUGGGGGGCAGACACCCCUGUGACCGCACAGACUCCUGCGAUGACACACACUUCCUCCCAUGGGGAGGUUCUCUCAUUUAUACCUACUGUGCUUGUUCACCAGGUACUCAAUAUUAGGAGGGAAGGCACUCACAUCAUACUGAUACCCCUGGACUUGUCAGUGGAGACCC